rnacentral:rRNA from 1 species
GUGAACGCUGGCGGUAGGCCUAACACAUGCAAGUCGAACGGCAGCACAGUAAGAGCUUGCUCUUACGGGUGGCGAGUGGCGGACGGGUGAGGAAUACAUCGGAAUCUACUUUUUCGUGGGGGAUAACGUAGGGAAACUUACGCUAAUACCGCAUACGACCUACGGGUGAAAGCAGGGGAUCUUCGGACCUUGCGCGAUUGAAUGAGCCGAUGUCGGAUUAGCUAGUUGGCGGGGUAAAGGCCCACCAAGCCGACGAUCCGUAGCUGGUCUGAGAGGAUGAUCAGCCACACUGGAACUGAGACACGGUCCAGACUCCUACGGGAGGCAGCAGUGGGGAAUAUUGGACAAUGGGCGCAAGCCUGAUCCAGCCAUACCGCGUGGGUGAAGAAGGCCUUCGGGUUGUAAAGCCCUUUUGUUGGGAAAGAAAAGCAGCAGGUUAAUACCCCGCUGUUCUGACGGUACCCAAAGAAUAAGCACCGGCUAACUUCGUG